AGCGAACGCUGGCGGCAGGCCUAACACAUGCAAGUCGAACGAACCUUUCGGGGUUAGUGGCGGACGGGUGAGUAACACGUGGGAACGUGCCUUUAGGUUCGGAAUAACUCAGGGAAACUUGUGCUAAUACCGAAUGUGCCCUUCGGGGGAAGGAUUUAUCGCCUUUAGAGCGGCCCGCGUCUGAUUAGCUAGUUGGUUGAGGUAAUGGCUCACCAAGGCGACGAUCAGUAGCUGGUCUGAGAGGAUGAUCAGCCACAUUGGGACUGAGACACGGCCCAAACUCCUACGGGAGGCAGCAGUGGGGAAUCUUGCGCAAUGGGCGAAAGCCUGACGCAGCCAUGCCGCGUGAAUGAUGAAGGUCUUAGGAUUGUAAAAUUCUUUCACCGGGGACGAUAAUGACGGUACCCGGAGAAGAAGCCCCGGCUAACUUCGUG
rnacentral:rRNA from 1 species